rnacentral:rRNA from 1 species
ACGGAAGGCGGCAGUGAGGAAUAUUGGUCAAUGGGCGGAAGCCUGAACCAGCCAUGUCGCGUGCAGGACUACGGCCCUACGGGUCUUAAACUGCUUUUGAUUGGGGAUAAAGUGGGGGACGCGUCCCCUAUUGCGGGUACCAAUCGAAUAAGGAUCGGCUAACUCCGUGCCAGCAGCCGCGGUAAUACGGAGGAUCCGAGCGUUAUCCGGAUUUAUUGGGUUUAAAGGGUGCGUAGGCGGGCUGUUAAGUCAGCGGUGAAACCCCCGGGCUCAACCCGGGGACUGCCAUUGAAACUGGCGGCCUAGAGUACGUUGGGAGUGCGCGGAAUGUGUGGUGUAGCGGUGAAAUGCAUAGAUAUCACACAGAACACCGAUCGCGAAGGCAGCGCACUACGCCGCAACUGACGCUGAGGCACGAAGGCGCGGGGAUCGAACAGGAUUAGAUACCCUGGUA